AUUGAACGCUGGCGGCAGGCCUAACACAUGCAAGUCGAGCGGAUGAAGGGAGCUUGCUCCUGGAUUCAGCGGCGGACGGGUGAGUAAUGCCUAGGAAUCUGCCUGGUAGUGGGGGAUAACGUCCGGAAACGGGCGCUAAUACCGCAUACGUCCUGAGGGAGAAAGUGGGGGAUCUUCGGACCUCACGCUAUCAGAUGAGCCUAGGCCGGAUUAGCUAGUUGGUGGGGUAAAGGCCUACCAAGGCGACGAUCCGUAACUGGUCUGAGAGGAUGAUCAGUCACACUGGAACUGAGCCACGGUCCAUACUCCUACGGGAGGCAGCAGUGGGGAAUAGUGGACAAUGGGCGAAAGCCUGAUCCAGCCAUGCCGCGUGUGUGAAGAAGGUCUUCGGAUUGUAAAGCACUUUAAGUUGGGAGGAAGGGCAGUAAGUUAAUACCUUGCUGUUUUGACGUUACCAACAGAAUAAGCACCGGCUAACUUCGUG
rnacentral:rRNA from 1 species